rnacentral:rRNA from 1 species
CGGAGGAAAAGAAACCAACAGGGAUUGCCUCAGUAACGGCGAGUGAAGCGGCAAAAGCUCAAAUUUGAAAUCUAACGCCUUCGGUGUUCGAGUUGUAAUCUGAAGAACUUUUUCUUGAAUAUGUCUUUAUCUAUGUUUCUUGGAACAGGACGUCAUAGAGGGUGAGAACCCCGUAUGAUUUGGACCUCUAUUCGUUGUGGAAUUUGUUCGAAGAGUCGAGUUGUUUGGGAAUGCAGCUCUAAGUGGGUGGUAAAUUCCAUCUAAAGCUAAAUAUUGGCGAGAGACCGAUAGCGAACAAGUACAGUGAUGGAAAGAUGAAAAGAACUCUGAAGAGAGAGUGAAAAAGUACGUGAAAUUGCUGAAAGGGAAGGGCUUUAGGUCAGACUUGGUGUUUAAUGAUUAUCUUCUCUUCUUGAGUUGUGCACUCGUUUUCCACUGGGCCAAUGUCAGUUUUGGCGGCAGAGCACCUCUUGGAAUGUAGCUAUCCUUCGGGUUAGUGUUAUAGACUUGAGACGAUCUGUUUGCCGGGACUGAGGACUGCGCAUUAUUGCUAGGACAUUGGCGUAAUGACCUUAAGCCGCCCGUCUU